GCGGACCGGAGGAGCCAUCUUGUCUCGUCGCCGGGGAGUCAGGCCCCUAACUCGAAGAAGCCCUGGCGCGCCCUCCCCCCCUCCCCGGUCUGGUAGGGCGAAGGAGCGGGCGCGCGGUCGAUCGAGCGAUCGGUUGGCGGCUCUUUCUCCUGCUCUGGCAUCCAGCUCUUGGGGCGCAGGCCCGGCCGCCGCGGCGCGCGCCCGGUGGCCGUUGGCGCUCGCGCCGCGUCUUUCUUCUCGUACGCAGAACUCGGGCGGCGGCCUAUGCGUUUGCGAUUCGACGAGGAGUCGUCCGGGUGGUCGGCGGCGGCGGGCAGCUGCUCCGCCCCGCUCCCGGGGAGGCGGCGGCGGCGGCGGGAUUUGGCGCGGCCGGGGAGGCGGGGGUGGCCGGGGCUGGCCUGGAGGCCUGGCGCCACCCUUCGGGGCCUGCAAGGACCCAGUUGGGGGGGCAAGAGGGCGCCGGGGGAUGGUUGGUGGUGGGCUUUCUACUUUGCCUUUUUCUCCUUAUGCCCCCUUAGUGAGGGGCGGGAGCUCUGGCGGCAGCUCCGGGGUGGGGAGACAAGCCCCGGAGUCGGAAGAGCUGGGUUUGCUUCCGGGCCUAGCCACCAGCUGGCCGAGUGACCUUAGGCAAAUCACUCAGUAAUUUGUCGGCGCCUCAGUUUCCUCCUCUGCCUAUCAAUGUUUGUGGGGUUGAAAGCGCUUUGUAAAGUAUAAAGCGUCGGUAUGUACGUAAGGGAUGAUUAUUGUUUGUAACGGGGUUUUUUUGAGUUGUAAGAAAAGUUAGCAAUUGCCCAGUUCUUGGAUUUUGAACCUGGGAACCUUGGAUUGAAGUUGGAGAUCCCCCUAAACUCCUUGGAAUUGUAUGCAGAAAUAGUGGGAGUGUGCAUUUUUGGGGAAUGAGGAUCCAUCGCCAGCAAGUUUUCAAAGGGGGCUGUGACCCAGAAGAGUUAAAAACUAUGAUUCUUUUAUGCCACAGGGAGGAAACUGAGGCCUAGAUGUCAUUUGGGACCCUUCACAACCGAUUUGAAGCCCCUGUUUGAAUCCCUGGGAUAUGUGAGCUGUUUCUAUGCAUAAUGGAUAGUUGGGGUAACAACACUCCACUGCUUGGCUUCUAUUCUGAGUCCUUUCCUUUUACCAUGGGGUGCCUGAAGGGUGGCUGACACGUUGGUAUGGCUCAAUGGCACCCAAUAUAAAGCAGCUAAAACUAGAAAUGGGUGUGUUCUCUACUAUUAAGAAGCCUGUAGAAUCUUUGGGCCAGCAAUUCUUGGUUUUCUGCUGCUUAUACUGGUACCUGACUACCUUCCUCUUUCAUUGACAAUUUUCCACAACCAUGGUUGCCAUCCAUUACUCCUCAAUAUUCUAUAUCCUUAGUCUGUGCGGUUGGUAGUGAGCAGGCUUAUUUUUAAAUGGUGCUGCCGAGUCCAGCUAAUUAAUGGUGCAGGUGGAUUUUUAGCAAGCUGGCUCACUUGGAACAGACUAAAUCAGGCAUGGAAUUCCUGAAGAUGUUUGGGGGUUUAUGUUUCUUAAUGGAAGGUUAACAUUCUCUGGAAAGUUUUGUCAUGACUUCUGCUGAACUGCAAAAUCAGUAGAUUUGGAAGUGUUUCAAUGCUUAACUGUUUCCUGGCCUGCUUUGUAUUCUAUUUGCUUGAAAGUGUGUCACUAAGAUGGCCAAAAUGCUUCUUUGUUAAUUGUCAGCUGCUUUUAUCAAAUUCCAGGCCAUUGUCCAGCAAACACUAUAGAAAUGUUUGAACAGUUGGAUUUCAAACAUUUUCAUUUUGUGGGGUGGUGCUUACCAGUGGUACAGCUCUAAGCAAGUGAACAUAAACACAUGUAAGUGUAUUUUGUCUGGUUAGGCGUUUACCUGUUUUGCUAUUCCAUACAAAUGUCUGAGAAAAUCAAUUGACUAUUCCUUUUACAUAAAGGGGAGAGACAAAUGAUCUCACUUCCAGAGAAAUGACUGUUUUGGAGAAAAACGUGUUGGUCUUUUAGCUCUUUUGUUAUUAUCUGGAUGUACCUCAAAAGAAUCUUAAGACUGUGGUGAUCUUAUAAGAUGCUUUCCUCCAGAAAAAGGAGGGGGAAAAAAACAACUGGAACUCAAAGCUUGAAAUUCUGUGACAAAACGUGAGAUGUCCAGGAUAGGAGGCCGAAAAGGUUUCACUACGGUGUUCUGCACUAGCUGGAGCAGAUGCUCUUCUGUGUAGCCAUGACAUGGACUCCAGAUUUCCAGAUUUUCAAGAACUGCACCUGCCACUUGAAGAGCUUGUCAGGAUGUGACAGGAACUCUGGAGCUGAAUAUUUUUGUUUUUGAAUUUGGGGGCUGUUGACCUUGCUUCAAGAAGAGACAACGACCGAGCAAGCACUGCCACCAGCACUAUUACUGGGAAUUCGAAGACCUGAGUUUCUGCCAGACCUUCAGUGCAAACUCUAGCAACACUCCAUCAAAAGUGAACUACGUCCUGUGCCUCCUGAUUGCUGAGUAUUCAUCUGGACCUUCUGACCACCUUCCUUGUACUAUUCCAUCAGCCUACAGAUCUGGUACCUGGAUUUUUGCCCUUGGUGAUUCCUUCACCUUACUGCUGAAGAAGACACCAUUCCAGUGGACCACUGUGAUCCAGGAGGCAUUCAACCAUCAUGAUGUGGCCUUCACCUCCACUCCUGUUCCACUCAGAUUCAGAACAGCCCUUUAUAGUGAAGUCAAACUGUUUAAGCCAAGUAGCUGAAACUAUAUUGUCGCAACAAAGGCCCAAUUUUUUCCUCGAGUGUGCAUUUCAUUUUUUCAGUUAAGGCCUUCAGAGACAUGGUAAAUUUGGACCAGGGGAUUUUUAGUUAUCAACACUGAAGAAUGACAACAUCUUGUCAAGAAUGGCAUUGGACCAUACCCCACAAUCUCAAAUGAUUGAAAUUAAUGAAGUGUCUAGGAUCCUAUCCAGGUCACUGGACCCUAUUCUUUGUCCACUUCAAGUCUAUAGUAGCCUACUGAAUAGAAAGCAGAUAUUCUGACCAGCAGAUAUUGGGAUUAAAACAAAGGCACAGUGAACUCACAGCAUCUUUGGGAUUACUCAGGAACCAGAACUUUUCACACAAAUGUAAGAAAUUCUACCAAGGAAUCCCUUUACCUAACAGCAUCUCACAAAGCUCCAAUCAGAUUCCAGAAAAGACCUCUUGAUAUAUCCAGCAUUUUGUGAACAACUUAUUCUUAGAUCAUUGGUUUUCCAAAGGCUUUGUGACCAUGAAGCCCUUUGGAAGAAAACUAUGUGGAAGCCCAGAGUAAAAGAGAAGCUGCUGUAGAUGAAGCAGGAGUGGGGGGCCUGAAACCUGCCACAAGCAUCUUCCUUUAUCACCAUGGUGACCCCUAAGGAGACUUCUUUACAACACCUAGAAUUCUUCAGAACACUGUUUGAAAACCACUGCCCUAGACAACAUGUGCAACCUGAAUGGCAUUCUGAUCUGUACCUCUACCAACCAAGUCCAUGUUCAGUUGAUGCUACUCAUCCUUAGGAAUACUUACUGUGGGCAAAGUCAGAAAAGUACAAGAAGAUGGGCAUAUCUUUGCCCCCUCAGAGUAGUCAUGUGGGCUGAAAGUGGUAUCAAAUGGACUAGAUCAACAGCCCUGUACCCCCAGGUGGAUAUCAAGUCAGUGAUUCCUGGGAUUCAAUAUAGUCAGAGAGCAAUUCAUACGUACUCUACACUGACAUACCCCCUUACCCAACUUCUUUCACAAACACCAGAUGCUCUAGUGGUACUUGAAAUAAAUAACUCUGAAGUCUUGAUCCUCUUUGGAUACCUGAAUUGCCAGGUAUUGAAGCUGGUACUAAAGUUGAUGAUGCCUCAUUGAGGCCAUGUUAGACCAACUUGUAUACGUUGGACCUCCCAUCAUCAGCCAUGGUACUCUACUUCGUGUGCAAGGGAUAACCAUUAACAAUGAAAGUAGAACUGAAAUACUGGUAACAUUACCUAGGGGUAAUGGUUAUUCAUCUUAUUCUCAAAACUCCAAGUCACUAUGACUCAACCAGGGGCAGUUACACUGCUCCUUGGUUAUUUUUCAGUUUAACUGCUGUUUUCCAAGAUAAAUGAGCUAACAACCUUAAAAAAAAUAAAAUUUUCUCCAUCAUUGGCACAUCUCCAAAAUUACGAAUACUCUUCGCUAACUACAUGUAACACCUGAUCCACAAGAGACUAUUUUUGGAUAUCCUCUCUCCUGUAUAUGAUGUUAAAUGUGAUGCUUUGGAAAAUUUUCUUCUAACCAAUGAGAGGUACUCUUAUGAUGGAUCUUUUGAUGUCUGGUACCAUCAACUACCAGGCGUUAGGGAUAUUUGGAGGUAGACCUUUUGACCAAGCCAUGGUAGUUUGCUUGCUGGGCAUCUCAAGUUGUGUAUCAUCUACCUUUUUGCUGGAAAUGUAGACUGACUUGAAAAUCUACAAAGCCUGCAGCUAAGAUUUUAGACUCCCGAGCUUCCUGCAGCUUCUUCCUAAUAUUACAAGACCACAGUGUCUUGUCCUUGUGGAUGUUUUAAUGGAGUUUCAUCUGUCUCAAUACUGUUGUUUUACACUGAUUCAGAGUGGCUGACUUCAUUCCUUGCUAUGAGAUACUCUCAGGCAUUAAGACAACUUAAUCUGUUUCUGCAGGAUGGAUUCAAUUCAUGAACUCCCAGACAGAUCAUGUCAGACAAGUAGACUUCGAUUUUUGUCAUGAGAAAAAUCUCAGUCCUUCACUUCACAGUCUACUUAAGGGCCAGCUAUCCUCAACUAUAAUGAAUGCACUGGUUAAAUGUUGGGAAUGAUUUCUUUGUAUCUUUGUCUCUUAUUCUCUAGACUAACCCGGAUUAUGUGACUUUGUCUACAAAUCAUCAAACAAGGCCUGUGCAUCCUCAACUAAUAAAAAUCUAACGACUAGCUUGCUUGUAUAUACAACUAUUGUUAAUAAGAAGUUAUCUACAAACUCCAUUUUCUACUACCUUCAAAAUGUCAGCUCAAUUUUUUUUUUCUGUACUUUACAGAAAAAGAUACGGAUCUACACUGCCAGUCAUUCCGUUUAAUCCUGUCAAACACAGUCAAAAUGAGGGAUUUAAGGUGAGGAUCAUCUGUUCGAGAGUCUAAUAUACACUGUAUAUAAAAAUUGAUGGUUGAAAAUAAAGCCUAAAACUCAAAUCUAGGGCUUUACCUAUCUCCCUGCCUCAGAUCUCAAUCUAAGUCUUUCGGCAGCACUAUCCAACCAACCUAAGGCCUUUUUUAUAAGCUGAUUCUCAGAGACGGGCCGUUUCAGAAGAUGGAGACUUGAUUACCAAAGAGAGUAGGGCCAACCUUCAUGAACCUGGCUCUCCCAACCUUGUCAUUCCCAGAUGUAGCAUAGACUCAACAGAACCUCAAGUCUGAAUUGAGAAUAUAUCCUUCUACUGAGCUGAAAGUUCUUGGGCAGAUACAUAUGAAAAUGAAAGCUGUAUACGUGACUGAUGAAAAUGGUAUCCAGAGGAAACCCUAAGGAAUGACCCUGGAGUACUCAGGGUAAAAACUAAUUUACAGAGCAUUGAUAUCAAUCUGCCCAUUCUUCCAGAUAACAUCCUGGCUAUUGGUGUGGCUAGCCCUGGUGAAGGUAACCUAUUUGUCUGUUUUAUGUAACCCAGCCCUGUCUGCCAUUUUUGAAAAUUUGCGAUCAGACUGGCUGUGCUUGAGAAAACUACAACUGGUAUCAGCCUUACACUCAUUUCCACCCAGGAGUUUUGAAUUGAAGCAACCUGCACCUCACCCCCACCCAUUCCCCUGGACUUAAAUGUUCACAACUGGAAGGACCAUGCUAUAUACUACUUGACCAGCAGCUCUUUUUAAGUGCAGAGUAAGUCUCUACAUAUAUAUAUUUGAUCAUUUUCAGCAUCUGAGACCUUAUACUAGAUCUGAAGGACUACAGCAGAUUGAAAGCACUGUCCAUUCCUCUCUUCUGCAGUAAUACAGAGAUGACAGAAAUGUACCAGUUCACCUUGACAAACAGCUAAAAAGAACACAAGAAAAGGUUUCCACUUAACUUAAACUUACCACUGACUUCAGCAGCCUCAGGACUAUUUGCCAAUGGGAGGCUUGUUCUGCUUUGUGUCAGCAAGAUGGUUGGGCUCUCAGAUUCAAGGCUACCGAGUUUACUUCUGUUGAAAUGCUAUUGCAUCAUCCAAAGUACUCUAUUGGACAUGAUUAUUCCCUUCAAAUGGAUUACAGGCUUCCUGAGUACAGGACAGACUUACUCCUCAUGAUGUUUUCUUCAAAAUACUCUUAUUAUCAAGAAAGUAACAAUGCCAGCUGUUACUGAACAGAGACUAAGCGAAUUUUUCAGUAUCUGGUCUUACCAUUGACGUCAGUUGUUUUUGAUUGACCAGCAUCCAUUGCACUCUUUAUAACAACUCUGAUGUUUCUUGGAACCACUUUUCCUUAUUUCCAGUUCACAUGGUUCAGACAGUCUGGCCUAACUUUAAGCUUCUUGGGUGUACAUGUAAUUCAGACCUGAUCAAUCAGCAUAGUCCCAUCUCUUUCACCAUAGUGAUUGGUUCUGGAAUGGUUUGAUUCAAAUUGGUCCAGUGAUACUCAGCCAUAAGAGUUUUACUGAACUGUGGAGGAGAAGCUCCGAAGCUAUCUUUACUGAGGUUGCUUGGCUUUGUAGUAUGAAAGCUCUAACCAACAGGGCCCACCAUAUUAAAUGAGCCAGAAAAUGAAGCCAGUGCCGAGGAAAGCAGAGCCAAAUGAUGGAGAGACUUGAGUCCUGAUGACAAUGUUUGUGCCCCUGGAUCCAACCGUGCCUGAAGCUAGUAUAUCCCUAUGGACUUUUCAGUUAUGUGAGCCAAUAAAUACCCUUUUUUGCUUUAAGUUACUUUGAGUUGGGUUUCUAUUGCUUAAUAUUGAGUCAGUCCUGACUAGUAUACUGUCUACCAAUAUCAAAGCUUAACAGAUUCAAGUAUUUAUUAAACUGGAGGUCAUGGCCACACUGAACUUACUUUUCAAACCAGAAGACAGAGUGAAACAGGAAGUGACAAUGUUUAAGUUACUACAGACACAUAAAAAUUACAUAGUAGAAAAAUACAGAAGAAAACCUAAGUGUUUAUUGGUAAAGGAUUGGUUAAAUAACACAUUUCAGCCAUGUAAGAAAAUCUAUAUGGCUAUUAAAAUUAAUAAACUACCUUUAUUCUGUACGGACAUGGAAAAUGGCCAUGAUAAUAUUAAGUGCAACAAACUAUUAAUAGAAAAAUGUAUAGUAUGAACUCACUUAAAAAUUUGUGUUUAUGAUGCAUAGAAAAGUCAACUAAUGGCUUUCUUCAAAUAGUGUAGUUUACAUGAGACUUUCAACUUUAUAUGUUUCUGUAUUGAAUAUUUUACACUACUCACAUUACUUUUAAACUUUAUUUAAAAAUAAAGGAUUUUAAAA
rnacentral:lncRNA from 1 species